rnacentral:rRNA from 1 species
GAUGAACGCUGGCGGCGUGCUUAGCACAUGCAAGUCGAACGGUGAAGCAGGAGCUUGCUCUUGUGGAUCAGUGGCGAACGGGUGAGUAACACGUGAGCAACCUGCCCCUGACUCUGGGAUAAGCGCUGGAAACGGCGUCUAAUACUGGAUAUGUGAUGUGACCGCAUGGUCUGCAUCUGGAAAGAAUCUCGGCUGGGGCUGGGAUCGCGGCCUAUCAGCUUGUUGGUGAGGUAAUGGCUCACCAAGGCGUCGACGGGUAGCCGGCCUGAGAGGGUGACCGGCCACACUGGGACUGAGACACGGCCCAGACUCCUACGGGAGGCAGCAGUGGGGAAUAUUGCACAAUGGGCGGAAGCCUGAUGCAGCAACGCCGCGUGAGGGAUGACGGCCUUCGGGUUGUAAACCUCUUUUAGCAGGGAAGAAGCGAAAGUGACGGUACCUGCAGAAAAAGCACCGGCUAACUACGUGCCAGCCGCCGCAGUAA